ACACGUCUUCAAAGGGGGCACGAAAGUGGAGUGUUCAGCAGACUGAAGCUAAUAUCGAAUUAAAGCCUGGGGCCGGCAGCAACUUCCUGGGAUCUUUGAGGGCCAGACAGGCACAAGAAGGGGUGAAAAUCCCUUGCGAACCGGAGGGAAACGUCCCAGAGUGGAUUCUUCCAGGUGGUGAUGUGACCAGACUUCAUAGAAAAAUUAUAUUAACAUCUGAAGUUACCAAAGCUCGUUCUCAGCUGUGUCAGGAGAGAGCCAUGUACCGGGAGAAAAGCGACCUAAUAUGGUAAUAGCCAACGUGAUACCCUCUGUAUUAUCCUGGAAUCGAAUAAAUAGAAUCCUAUCUUUUAUGUUUCGAGAGCGCUUUUAUUUUUUGAAGCCUUCGACGCCAGAGCACCUGGCCAACAUGAUCUGAUCGCUCUACCGUGUUUCCGUUAUACAAAUUCCCCUUAAGAGAGUCAAAACCUACUUCUCGCUGACAGAAACACUCAAGGACGCCUUGGUAAGAAUGCAGUUAGGUUCCUAAAUGUAAAAGUCCCCCAUCGGGAAGAGACGAUGCAACAGAGUUCCCAGGCAACCCUCCACUGUCCCCACUGGGCUCAUGGGGGGCUCUAUUUUGGAAUCUCAGGACAGUGGGGGUUCUCCGCGCCAGACUGUGCAGGCAGGCCCAGGGAAGGGAAUUAAUUACACACCAGGCGACCGCUGUCGCCUCAUAAGGACUGUAUGCUCUGUGGUUACCGAGGCUCCCUGCAUUGUGGACAACCAAAAGUAACACUAGAUCCAGAAUCCCACGACCCAGGGCCACUGAGGCAAUGACAGUGUGUCCACCUUGGGCAACAGGAUGGUCCCAGGACUUCAAGCUCCUAUUGUAAUUCUUCGCCGAAGCCUCCAACUUGUGUCUGAUUCCACUUCCAUGUUCACUGAAAGGCGCGAUCAGAUUCCCCCCCCCCCCCCAAUAACGAACAGAUUCAUGCCCACGGAUGUAAUGUAACUCUGUGCUUUUCCCUUCCUAUUUACUAGUUCUAAUUUCGUACGGCAGCGAUAAAACCAGCAUUCUGAUCCUCUUAAGCUCUAGCUUGGAAAAAUAAAUAAAUGUGAAUAAAAACGCCCCCCCCCCCC
rnacentral:lncRNA from 1 species